AUGGUGACCGCCAUAAGGUGCCUCAGUAGAGUUUUGAUACAUCAUCAAAAGUAUAGUCUUUCCAAGAUGGCUUAUCAGACACAUCCUUGUUCUACAUGUUCAGGUGCCCAGCAGACAUUUUGCUGCUGCUACAAAGCCUGCAAAGAAAACAAAAAAAGGUGUGAAAGACAAAGCAUCAGAUGAGAAAAAAGAUGAAAUAGAAAAAAUAAAGUCCUACUGCUUUAUGGAAGGUGAACCUGAGGAUGAUGUCUACUUAAAGCACUUAUAUCCAAGGCAGAUAUAGGAGGUGGAGAAAGCUAUUCAGUUACUUAAGAAAUUUUAAACUCUAGAGUUUACUAAUCUAAAGUAAGGUGUUUAUCUUGAUUUGACACUGGAUAUGGCACUGGGGAAGAAGAAAAAAGUGGAGCCAUUUGCCAGUGUUCUUUGUUUUCCAUACCCAUUCGUUUCAGAAAUCAAUAAAGUUGCUGUAUUUACAGGGAAUGCAGCAGAGAUUAAAAUAGCAGAAGAAAAUGGAGCUGCAUUUGCAGGAGGAAUUAAUCUAAUUCAGAAGAUUUUGGAUGAUGAAAUUCAAUCAGACUUUUAUGUAGCUGUUCCAGAAAUAAUGCCCGAGCUUAAUCCAUUAAAGAAAAAGCUGAAAAAAAGAUUUCCAAAACCAACUCGAAAUUCCAUUGGCCGUGACAUCCCCAAAAUGCUUGAAUUAUUUAAAAUUGGACAUGAAAUUAAAGUAGAUGAAGAAAGGGUGAACUUUCUCGAGACCAAAACAGAAACACUGCAUACGCUAAGUGACCAGAUAGCUGCAAAUCUGCCAGCAGUUAUCAGUGAAAUUUAUAAGCACAGACCACUCAGUUUGGGACCUUCGUGGUAUGAGCUUUCCUUCAUACUUCAACAAGUGAAGGUUUGUUACUAAAGAUCAAGCCAUUGUUGUCUAAAGAAGUAAAACCGCAGAAAGUAACAAAGAAGAUCCCUAAAAAUAUUAUAUUAUGA